rnacentral:lncRNA from 1 species
GGAUGUUGGGUCUCUGGCCCCAGCAUGCUCCCCACCCCACAGCAGCAUUCCCCAUAAGACCCCACCCGCCUAUGCCGCCACAGGGCCCCCCUCCUGGUACGCAGCCGCUACCAUUACUGCACAGUGUCUCUCUGUCAGCUCCAGAAUGUGUGCACCUCUGCCCAAGGUGACAACACCAGUCUAUGGCUGUUGUGGUAGCAUCAGUGAGCAAUGAAUGAAGUGCGGAGAUGAGAGGCUUUUUUGUACGUGCAGGCUACAUGCCGCACUUUCUGCAGAACCUGGGACACAGCGGCAUGCACAGACCCUCUGGGCCGCAGGCCUCCAUGCCAGCAUAUGCUGUAAGGGCCUGUCCCUCUGUCCUGCCAACUGCACACAUUUGGUUUGCCCUGAAUGGACUUGGCCUUACAGCGCAUAC